AAGUAAGAAGCAAUUAUGCAAUUAGUUUCGACCUAAUAGAAUGAUAUUAGAUUAUCCUUACUUU
rnacentral:tRNA from 1 species